rnacentral:rRNA from 1 species
GCGUUGUUCGGAAUUAUUGGGCGUAAAGCGCGUGUAGGCGGCCAAGCAAGUCGGGUGUGAAAGCCCUCGGCUUAACCGAGGAAGUGCGCCCGAAACUACUUGGCUUGAGUACCGGAGAGGAUGGCGGAAUUCCCGGUGUAGAGGUGAAAUUCGUAGAUAUCGGGAGGAACACCAGUGGCGAAGGCGGCCAUCUGGACGGAUACUGACGCUGAGACGCGAAAGCGUG